rnacentral:rRNA from 1 species
UACGUAGGGGCUAGCGUUGUCCGGAAUCAUUGGGCGUAAAGCGCGUGUAGGCGGUCCGGUAAGUCCGCUGUGAAAGUCGAGGGCUCAACCCUCGAAUGCCGGUGGAUACUGUCGGGCUUGAGUACGGGAGAGGCGAGUGGAAUUCCUGGUGUAGCGGUGAAAUGCGCAGAUAUCAGGAGGAACACCGAUUGCGAAGGCAGCUCGCUGGAACGUUACUGACGCUGAGACGCGAAAGCGUGGGGAGCAAACAGG